rnacentral:rRNA from 1 species
CAUUGUGGCCAAACUUCCUUGUUCUUGAUCUCUUCAGAUCUCAGAACUUAAGCAGGGCCGGGUUUGGUUAGGACAUUGAUGGGAGACCGCUGAAAAUACAAGGUGCCAUACUGG